GGUGCCAGAGCGGCGCCCCCUGGCAUCCCCACAUGUCAAUCCGAAACCGAAACUGAAAACCGUAAACACAACAGGAGUCUCAACCCAAAGGGGUCUCCUGGAUCAAGCUGGUCAAGCUGCAGCGGCCACUGGUGUCCUGGAAUGGGGAAACCAGCCUUGACAUUCUACCCUCCUUUUUCCCCUUUUUUAUAAAUAAAAAUGUCGUGUCAUCAUCACUUAA
rnacentral:lncRNA from 1 species